GAUCAUGGCUCAGGACAAACGCUGGCGGCGUGCCUAACACAUGCAAGUCGAACGGACCCUUCGGGGUUAGUGGCAGACGGGUGAGUAACACGUAGGUAAUGUACCUCUUGCUGGGGAUACCUACCCCGAAAGGGUGGUUAAUACCGAAUGGUCUCAUGCUGCGGCAUCGCGGUAUGAGUAAAGUGUUCAGCGCGAGAGGAUCAGCCUGCGGGCCAUCAGCUAGUUGGUGGGGUAACGGCCUACCAAGGCAUCGACGGUUAGCCGGUCUGAGAGGAUGAUCGGCCACACUGGAACUGAGACACGGUCCAGACUCCUACGGGAGGCAGCAGUGAGGAAUAUUGCGCAAUGGGCGGAAGCCUGACGCAAGCGACGCCGCGUGAGGGAUGAAGGUUUUCGGAUCGUAAACCUCUGUUAAGCAGGGAAGAGAACGGACGGUACCUGCUGAGGAAGCAUCGGCUUACUACGUGCCAGCAGCCGC
rnacentral:rRNA from 1 species